AGCGAACGCUGGCGGCAGGCCUAACACAUGCAAGCCGAACGGACCCUUCGGGGUUAGUGGCGGACGGGUGAGUAACACGUGGGAACGUGCCUUUAGGUUCGGAAUAGCUCCUGGAGACGGGUGGUAAUGCCGAAUGUGCCCUUAGGGGGAAAGAUUUAUCGCCUUUAGAGCGGCCCGCGUCUGAUUAGCUAGUUGGUGAGGUAAUGGCUCACCAAGGCUACGAUCAGUAGCUGGUCUGAGAGGAUGGCCAGCCACAUUGGGACUGAGACACGGCCCAAACUCCUACGGGAGGCAGCAGUGGGGAAUCUUGCGCAAUGGGCGAAAGCCUGACGCAGCCAUGCCGCGUGAAUGAUGAAGGUCUUAGGAUUGUAAAAUUCUUUCACCGGGGACGAUAAUGACGGUACCCGGAGAAGAAGCCCCGGCUAACUUCGUGCCAGCAGCCGCCGUAAUAC
rnacentral:rRNA from 1 species